rnacentral:tRNA from 1 species
CCUGUGGCUCAGACGGGAAAGCGUCUGCCUACAAUGCAGGAGACCCGGGUUCAAUCCCUGGGUCAGGA